GGCCUCUCUGCAUCGGAAACUGGAGCGGCAUGACUUUUGUUAGAACUCCUCUUCUUCUUCUCCUCCUCCUCUCCCCCCUUUCUCUCCCUCUACCUCCCCCUCUCUCUCCCUCUCUCUCUCGCUCUCACUCUGCAGUCUGCCGCGAGGCUGUCCGUCUUUCACUGCGGAUACCGCGAGGGGAGGCCGAGGAAGACACCGAGAGGAGGAAGAGGAGAACCGGAUGGUCGUGAGGACGGGAAGUCACGUGCCAAAGAAAUAAGUCUGAUUUGCACCUGAGAAGCUCUCCGGCUCCACGCUGGGCCUGAAAUGGGACCCUAGUCACUGUGGCCCCUUGGAGUUUGCGUAGUCCUCUCGAGUCCCACCUGAUCACCUACAUUUUUCCUGCAUGUCACAAGUUUAUUCCUCACGGGCCGGGAGGGACAGAUGGGACUGGAGGUGGGACUACAGGGAAAGGAGAGUGAGCAGUCACGCCGCAUGACGACGCACUGCACGCCUGUAUAGAACAAACAGGCAAAGAAAUCCGUACCAGACCGGGAUGUGUGUAGCAAAUCACACGCUACAUGACAUGCAUCUGACGGGGAACAAGAGGAAUUUGUUACGCUCUAACACUUGAGAAAAGAUGGGAAGGAGAUGGAAGGAGGAGGAAAGAACACAAAUCUGAGAGAGGGAAUUGCCUAUUUUUUCAUCACAGAUUAUUUUAGGGGGUGAAUGCCAUUCCUGAGUUGACUAAAAACGAGCCAAACAAAAUAUGGAAUAUUCUGAAUUUACGAACUGCAUUGUGGUAGGAAAAAAAAAGCAGAAACAUGUGUGUCGCCCCCCCCCAUCACCCAGUCGCUGUUUGUUCCUUAAUGCAGCAGCUGGUAUUAGUCUCUCAAAAGGCCCGGCUGUGUCUGCCAUCCUACUUGCCUCACAUAUUCUUUUCUACGGCUUAUCAGUCGGAAAGCCAGGGGAGCUGUCCAGUCUCAUUCUCUCACUGGAGAGCACAUGUCAGGACCUAUUUGCCACUGGUUACUUUGAGAGUGACAUCAGCGAUGACCCCUUGACCCCGGCUGACGGAGAAAUGCUUCUGCAAUAGUUUUCCAUUACAGAGGCGAGAGAGCGCGGACACCAGACGGAUAUGUGAAAUGAGAAAAUAGGAAAACUGGAAAAGGCAUUUAGACCUGUAUUUGACCUAUCAUGUUUCGGCUUUCUGCGGCAGGCUUUUAUGAAAUGAGUAUUUGACCCAUUAACAAAUCCUUUGUCGUUUCUCUCGGAUGUUUUCCACGACCGCCAUGCGACGGCUAUUACAGAGGACAAAGCAGGGGUCAUCACAACGACACACAUAGCAGCGAUUCACUCGGCUUUCUCUUUUUUUUAGUGUCUUGAUGACGUGUAUCUGCUUGUCAGUCUGGCUAUGUGAGGAUCAGCCUCAGACGUAUCUGUAGAGUCUCGUAUUAAGGGACAAAUUGUUGCGACUGAGCUUUCGACAUGCCUCUCAACAGGUUGGAGACCAGCGUUUUUAUAUAGAUCUGAGCUGAGCUGAGUGGACGGCGAUGUUUGUUCAUCCAGGGGCACGCUGCUGCAGAUUGCCAUUGCAGCUUUUCAGUGCAACAAUGACUGUCGUCACACCAGCCGAAUCCCUUAUAGAUUUCAUUAUCUGAAAUAGAAGCAGUGAGGAUGAAAAGCACCUGUGAACAGAAUGUAACAGAAGCGUGAUAUCUCAGUAUUGAUCAUAUAUUAGCCUUUUUUAUUAUAAAUACAGCCAAAUAAUGUUGUUUUAAUAUUCGCUACAUUAAACUUGUCCUUCUAUUAAAACACCAGUUUGCCAUUUUUCUAAACGCAUUCAUCCGCUGUCUUCCAGAGAGUGAAAUGAUUACUAUCAGAUUAACAUCACUCUUGUGUCCGUACACAACAGCCCUAUUCUAAGUUUAGCAUUAUUAUUGGUUAAUGUUGAAAAAUCCGAUAUCGUGAAUCAAUGGUUCUGUUUUCUCUUUAUUUUUGGAUAAAAACGCUAUAGAAAAAUGACCUUACAGUUGUUUACUUGCUGGAAUGUACCUUUUAGGAACCUUUUAUUUUAGCUUAUUCCAUUUGUGGUGAAGACAUGUCACAUGUCACUAAUCAAUACGAAAUGUAUAAUCCCUGUAGGAGUUUGUGCUGCAUUUUCUUGUGUCAGAGUAACUGCCACCAAAGAGAACAACAUUCCCUCUGGUUGUGCUGACUAUGCAAAGCACAGAUUAUACGACACAUCAGCUCAACCAUCAGAUCCCUGGUUUUGACACAGCAAUAUAGUCUCUGACACUUGUAAAUCUAUUAUAUAAAUCGUAUUAAUAGCAUCUGUGCCGCCCCAUCAAAGUGUGAUUGACAAAUUACCCGCUGUAAACCGUGCAGGAUGAAGGAAACUGCGCGGGAAGAUGUCCAUUUAGAGCACUGAUUUAUGUAAUAUGACAGGGAUGCGUUGAUGGGGGCACUGCUGCCUUAUCACCCAUUAUGCUUCCCCACAGCUCAUAAAGACAUAUGUCAGCACGCGAAAGCUUCGCAGGUCAGUGUGAAGAGACGGGAAGCGUUCCAGCUAGUCCACUGCUGGCCUUUGCCUUCGUGAUAAAUUGCAUUUAUGAAAGCUGCAAUUACCUGAUUACCGCUCUGGCUCCCACUCACUAGCAGGACUCAUCACGGCCCUGUAAUUUCAUUCAAAUUCCCCAUGAACCUUCAUCCGCAGUGUCAACACAACUGCUAUUGUGACCCUAUUGAGUGUAAGUAAUGUCCUCUGGGGUCAUCACAGUAGUAAGUGAAAUAAUAAGCUGUUUCUUAACGUGAACGUCAGAGGUGAAUAGACGGACAGAUAUUAGAGGUAUGAACAUUGCAAUCAGGAUGUCUCCUCCUUCGCCGCUGGAGGAUGUGACAGGUGCUUGCUGCAUGCUGGGGGGUGAUGUAAGCAGCAGACAUUGUGACAUACCCCCCCCCUCCCCAGACCAUCUCCACCACGAGACCCACAGUAAGAUAGCGGGCGUAUUAUCAUUUUUCCGUUUCUCCUUUUCCAACGGCCAAACUGACCUCCCCAGACCUCCCGACGCUCUCGCUCCUGCAUCCUCGGACCGGCUGCACCCCGAGGGCUCACGAAACAAUUUAACUGCUGGGCCGGAAUGGGCCCUCCCACGGUCCACCAUCUCUCGCACAGCGUGGAAGCGCCACUUCUAAUUCUGCCUCCACACACGGAGCUUAAGAUUUUUAUACGGCGCUAAACUCUUCCAUUGCAUCAAAGGUGAUCAAGUAACAACGACUGUGUUUUCCAUCUCCAGGAGGCGCCUCUCGACGUGAGCGCUGGGGAGUGUGAGGUUGAUUUCCUCACGCAUUCAUAAAUUCAUUAGUCUAAACUUUUCAGUGUAUCAGUUACAUUAGGCCUCAUUAACUUCUUUUUUCCUGCUUUAUAUUAGCUAAUUAGCUCAGGGGUGGCCACAAAUUAAUUACCAACUUCUACACCCUCAUGCAAUUGCAUUGUGCUUAUUUAGUCUCUCCUAUUAACUUUUAAUCUUUUCCUACUCGUAAAAACAGGCAAUUAACAUUUUUUGAUAAACAAAAACUAUGCUAUCUCAGGGAUAAUCAGCAGCGCUGCAUGUCGUCCUGACAAAAUUACCCUGUCAGCUAAUUUGACCCUCGAACCGUCCUCAGUCCAGACUGGCUGGUUGAAAAACAGCAUGUGACAAAAGCGUGACCUUUGUUUUUCCUUUUUUUCUUCUUUUCUUUUCUCCAGCACUAAUUUCCUUGCAAACAACGCAGAUUCGUGUGCGGCAGAUUUCACAUGACAGACGCCAAUCGCCGUGUUUUAGAAAAGGGAGAUUUCCGUUCUCCCUUUUGCUCGGUGUGAGCGCGGCAAUCCGGUAAAAUGACAGCGGAACAGUGAGCGCGGACGUACUGCAGAAAGUCUUCAAUUCUCCUCAGUGUAUUUCAAUAAACACACACAAUGGCUGCUUCAUUAACCCAUUGAUUCAUUAAUGCAGCCAUCAUUCUUCCUCAUAUUCACAGGGCGCAAACACCGACGAUACGAAAGGCAACAGCAAUGAUAACUCCAGUCGCGGUCGAAUUCCUGUUAAGGCACCAGGCGGCCAUCCGCUUUGAUAAAGAGGCUCAUUUAUACGCCGUCUCCCAGCACACGGUCAUCCUUCUCCAUAUUCUGUCUAUUGACCCGGGUUGUUCCUUUUAUUACAAGCAGGUUUUUUAUUGAAGGAUGAUUACAUUGAAUGAUGUCAAGCGAGGGGAGAAAAGAUCGACCAGAAUAAUGACGUUCCGGAGAGGGAGAACGCGAUGGGGAUGGGCGGAGGGGUCGAUGGCUGCGGCUCGCCCUGUCUCUCUGUGCGGCCCCGCAAAUUGAGUCGCUUCCUUGCUCAUCCAUUAUUUAAGGCCGAUAGGACUCCCUUGGCAACUAUGGAUUUGAUAAUCAUUCCCAUGUCCAUAUUAAAUAUGUGACAUAAAUAUCACAGUAGGGGCUUGUCAAUAAGAGCAGCAGUGUGAAACCGGGGCGUAAAAGAGAAACUAAUGUAUGGAUAUGAGGCGGAGAGGAGAUGAGGAGCUUGUGCCGAGGUUUUCCUGCAUCCGCACAACUUCCAGUCUCCUGAAUAAGUAGGCAACACAUUAAUUAAUGUGUUUUUCAGAGAUUCUCUGUAUUCCUGCACUGCCGUUUCAGUCUAUAAAAUACCAUGACACUGCCAUCAUUCCAAGCUUACCUUAUCUUCAUUUCUUAUUAGCUCAUUUUAGCAAGCUAAGCUAAGAAGGUAACCGUAAUCAAUAUAAUUUUAAAUAAUUGUGAGAAUGCCCGGUGCCAGUACGGCCACCAACAGCGUGCUGAUGAAAGCUCAUGGAUGAGAGGCUCCACACGCCACGCUGUCACAAGCACGUGCCGCUCGUCCCUUUGCGCGGUGAUACAGUUGGCGGUUGUAGUUUGACUGAAUGAAAAUGGUUCCUACGUGAAACUGCUCACAGCAAAGUCUCUGGAUUAACUUGAGUAACCGAAUUGUUGAUUUCUGGGAAGUUUCAUUUUUCAAAUGCAUUUUUCUGGAGCUUUAAACACAAAAAAGUGUCGCUUGGUGAUGCCACAAAGGUGAUAUCUCCAACACUUCUCACACAAAAGGCAUCAUUUUAAAGGAGGACUUUCACCUACGCAUUGGCUGGAUAUUCAGCAAACCUUUACUGUUUAUGAUUAAUAAGUUAUUUCCGAUACAAUACCAGAAUGUGCUAUCGAAUUCGGCAAUAAAGGCUAAAAUAGAAUAUCUAUUCAUACAAACACGUCUUUGUGGGCAAAGGAGCUGUGCGCAACUGUAAAAAGAGGGUGUCGGGUUGUAAGUCACCACAUAAAUAAAGGUGGAGAAAGGGCCGAUAACAAGAACCAGCAUCUGCCGAGCAGGCGGGCAGUAUGUCUCCUUUCUGGACUCUUUGUCUCUUGUGAUUUUCUCCAGCUGCUGCCCAUGAAUACUGGCCUAUGCGCUCUAGAUUAAAGCACAACACAUGUUUCUCUGCAGGCUAGAUUAUAUAUCAUCCCCUGAUAACCAAUGACAAAACGCUCCUACAUAUUGUCCCAGAGCAGAGACCAAGGGAGGAAAAAACACGUUUGGACGGGAGAUAUUGGUUACCCAGCUGUUAGACUUCUGGACCGAAAAGACAGACUUGUUAAUUUAUGUUGACAUGAAUAUAUUCUUAUGCCGUUUCCUUCACCUUAUCAUAUAGUACUUAUCGAGUUGCUUCUAUUCUGCGAGGGCUGCAAACACACACACACACACACACACACAACAGAGUGUCCAAACUCUUCUUCAACCACUUUUCUUUAGCAACAGCAGAUGAGCACUUAUCUUCCACCGGCCUUUAGCAGAAGACGCGCACAGCGCGUCAAGCUGAUUGACACCACCCCGGCAGCGGUCUAUGUGUCUUGCCACUGAGCAUGUUGGAUGUCACAAGGGUUUGUUGGUUGGUUUGGUCUUUUUCUCAGCUUCGGCCUGAUGUCAGUGAGGGUGAAGUGAAGUCUGAGCUCUUCCGAGGAUCACUCUCUUGUGCUUACUUUGGACCUCUUGAGGAUGACAGUGAUUCAGUGCUGCUCAGUGAACAGGAUGCUCUUUCAUCCUUUUCUGUCUGGGUGGCCCCGCGGCUGCCCUUUCCACUGUGGGGGUAAGUUACCCAUCAUGUUAAAGGGGCAAAGCAGCACCAUCUGAUCUUGUACUGUAUUUAAGCAAUAAGGCUCGAGAGGCUGUACCAGUGUUAAUUUCGUGGACGAAAACUAUGACGAAAAUUUUUCGUUAACGAACCUUUUUCCCAUGACUAAGACGA